CUGGUGUCACUUUGGCAGCAGAUAUACUAAAAUGGGGAUGGUACAGAGAAGAUUAGCAUGGUCCUUGCACAAGGAUGUCAUGCAAAUUUGUGAGGCAUUCCAUAUUUUU
rnacentral:snRNA from 1 species